UCUGCCGGGUCACGUGGCAUUGGCAUCAGCGCCGUCGACAUGGUAACGCGGCCGGGCUUGCUAGAAGGCUUCCCCGCUGUUCAUGGUGUGACGCGAGGCGCAGGGUCACAUGGCCCGUGACGCCAGCGUCAUCACCAUAGUUACACAACAAUGCUGGAAAGAAGGCACUCCUCCCCAUCGAGGGGCGGAUUGCCAUGCCCACUAGCCCCAUCCCGCCCCCUCCAGCAGAACGAUUGUAAACAGCAGAUGGCAAUCCCAUCUGAUCAGAAUCCCUGGGAGGGGCCGAGCUACACGGCCCUCCCAGGUCAUGUCCACCCCAUAAAUAGAGCCAACAUAUGACCAGUUCUCCCAGCACCCUGCGAGCUGAAGGGAGUAACGCUGGUAUUACAAUACCCCAAUCACGGUGAGUGCCUGUUCUACCUUAUACUCAAACAAGCCUUUUUGUAACCAACCUAACCUCACUCUAGCAUGUACCUCUCCUUACCAUGCAUGCCUCAGUUUCUAUCUAUAUACGUCUGCUCCACAGGCAUUCGGCACCAGGUUCCUCUCUACAUAUAGAGCCCGGGAUUCCCCCUAGCAACUCUAAGAGGAUCGUCCGCAUUGGACUCAGUAAACCCCCUGACCUGCUGCACUUUUGCCCUAACAAGCCCUACAUUUGGGAUACCGUGUGUUUGGGAUCAAUCGGAGCCAUCCCUCCCCUUUCUCUUUUCUUACUUAUGAGACCCCAUAAGUCGGCCCUGGGGAUAUCCUAAACCGACAAGUUGAGGGUCAAUUUUCAAACCCUGGUUUACCACAAACGAGAGAGAAAAACAGCUUGUAAUCACACACUCCUGUGGCCCCUGAUGAAGGUCUGUUGCUCCAUCAAUAGACCAGAAACGCGUCGGGCAUUUCUCCACUACUCUCUACAGAGUGUUUUUUAAUCUAAUUGUAUUGUAUCUUCACGAGGUUUUAUUUGAGUACUUUCUUGUUGUUUCCUAUUUUCUCCUGGGUCCACACAUGGGACGUGUGCCCCAGGUGUCACUUUAUCACUACUUCUUAUAUGUUUUUUAUUCUUAUUAUACAUAAUUUCUGACUGUUCCAGAAGAUUUCUGUAAUCCAACAUCCAGAAUUACUCUGUAAUUAAGUGUUUACCCAUCUUGGUGCAAAUAUCUAAUAAAUUAAAAAAAAUGUAUAUAUACAUUGGAGUCUGGCCUUAAAAGUCCCAUCUGGGGGUAAUCGUUUUUCUUUCUUGUCUAAACUACCAGGGAUGUGGCCAGUCCCCACUUCCAGGAACAUAUGAACCCUUCUCC